UACGUAGGGUGCAAGCGUUAUCCGGAAUUAUUGGGCGUAAAGAGCUCGUAGGCGGUUUGUCACGUCUGCUGUGAAAACUGGAGGCUCAACCUCCAGCCUGCAGUGGGUACGGGCAGACUAGAGUGCGGUAGGGGGAGAUUGGAAUUCCUGGUGUAGCGGUGAAAUGCGCAGAUAUCAGGAGGAACACCGGUGGCGAAGGCGGGUCACUGGACCGCAACUGACGCUGAGGCGCGAAAGCUAGGGGAGCAAACAGG
rnacentral:rRNA from 1 species